CAAAUCUUUUUAUUUAUUUUUUCUUAGAUUAGCAAUCGUGUCCUCUAUGUGUUUUUCACACAUGUGCAAGAGCUCUUUGGAAAUGUGAUACUAAAGCAAGUGACAAAACCUCUUCGAUGGUCUAACAUGGCCACUAUGCCCACACUGCCAGAGACCCAGGAGAACAUCAAGGAGGAGAUCAGAAGACAGGAGUUUCUUUUGAAUUGUUUACAUCGAGAUCUGCAGGCUGGGAUAAAGGAUUUGU